UACGUAGGGUGCAAGCGUUGUCCGGAAUUAUUGGGCGUAAAGCGUGCGCAGGCGGUCUGUUAAGACCGAUGUGAAAUCCCCGGGCUUAACCUGGGAACUGCAUUGGUGACUGGCAGGCUUUGAGUGUGGCAGAGGGGGGUAGAAUUCCACGUGUAGCAGUGAAAUGCGUAGAGAUGUGGAGGAAUACCGAUGGCGAAGGCAGCCCCCUGGGCCAACACUGACGCUCAUGCACGAAAGCGUGGGGAGCAAACAGG
rnacentral:rRNA from 1 species